rfam:Desulfatibacillum alkenivorans AK-01, complete genome.
AAAGACAAAGCCAAACCUGCUGCGAGGCAGGGACGGAAAGCCACGGGUCCCAUAAACAGACAUGCGGAUAGCCGGGUUACCAUUA